UACGAAGGGGGCUAGCGUUGUUCGGAUUUACUGGGCGUAAAGCGCACGUAGGCGGAUUGUUAAGUGAGGGGUGAAAUCCCAGGGCUCAACCCUGGAACUGCCUUUCAUACUGGCAAUCUCGAGUCCGGAAGAGGUGAGUGGAACUCCUAGUGUAGAGGUGGAAUUCGUAGAUAUUAGGAAGAACACCAGUGGCGAAGGCGGCUCACUGGUCCGGUACUGACGCUGAGGCGCGAAAGCGUGGGUAGCAAACGGG
rnacentral:rRNA from 1 species